rnacentral:misc_RNA from 1 species
GCGCUCGGCAAACGCGUCAAGCCGCUGGCGGAAUCGCUCAAUGCGCCGCUGAUUCUGCCGUGCGAUGUCGAGGACAUCGCCAGUGUCGAUGCGACCUUCGCCGCGAUGAAGGACAAGUGGGGCACNNNNNNNUCCUGGUCCAUGCGAUCGGCUUUUCCGACAAGAACGAACUCAAGGGCCGCUACGCCGACACCACCCGCGCGAACUUCUCGCGCACCAUGGUGAUCUCGUGCUUCUCCUUCACGGAAGUCGCCAAGCGCGCCUCGGAGAUGAUGCCGAACGGCGGCUCGAUCGUGACGCUGACCUUCGGUGGUUCGCCCCGCGUCAUGCCGAAUUACAAUGUGAUGGGCGUGG